GAUAGCUUCAAUGGCUGCUUAUUCUUCUUCUACUCCCUCCUUAGGAUUAUGGAAUCAUAGACCCAUUUGUCGUCCUCCAUCUGCUUCUUCUGUAGAUUCCCAACCCAAAUGCCGAUAGAAUCCUCAACAACAAGGUUUGACUUCCUUCUCGUCUUGGGAUGGUCUCAGGCUUCUGGGUGUCUCAAUUCCCAAACAAUCUGCAAAAAUUGAGAGGAAGAAGGCGUUUAGGAGAUGUAAAUGCAACAAUGGCGUGAAUGCUUCUCUCUUUGGAGUUGGAGCUCCUGAAGCCUUGGUGGUUGGUGUCGUGGCCUUAUUGGUCUUUGGCCCUAAAGGUCUUGCUGAGGUUGCUAGGAAUUUAGGGAAGACAUUGCGUGCUUUUCAACCCACAAUCAGAGA